AUUGAACGCUGGCGGCAGGCCUAACACAUGCAAGUCGAGCGGAUGAAGGGAGCUUGCUCUCUGAUUCAGCGGCGGACGGGUGAGUAAUGCCUAGGAAUCUGCCCGGUAAUGGGGGAUAACGUUCCGAAAGGAACGCUAAUACCGCAUACGUCCUACGGGAGAAAGCGGGGGAUCUUCGGACCUCGCGUUAUCGGAUGAGCCUAGGUCGGAUUAGGUAGUUGGUGGGGUAAAGGCCUACCAAGGCGACGAUCCGUAACUGGUCUGAGAGGAUGAGCAGCCACACUGGAACUGAGACACGGUCCAGACUCCUACGGGAGGCAGCAGUGGGGAAUAUUGGACAAUGGGCGAAAGCCUGAGCCAGCCAUGCCGCGUGUGUGAAGAAGGUCUUCGGAUUGUAAAGCACUUUAAGUUGGGAGGAAGGGCAGUAAGUUAAUACCUUGCUGUUUUGACGUUACCAACAGAAUAAGCACCGGCUAACUUCGUGCCAGCCGCCGCCGUAACAC
rnacentral:rRNA from 1 species